UACGAAGGGGGCUAGCGUUGCUCGGAAUUACUGGGCGUAAAGCGCACGUAGGCGGCUUUCUAAGUCGGGGGUGAAAUCCUGGAGCUCAACUCCAGAACUGCCUUUGAUACUGGGAGUCUUGAGUUCGGGAGAGGUGAGUGGAACUGCGAGUGUAGAGGUGAAAUUCGUAGAUAUUCGCAAGAACACCAGUGGCGAAGGCGGCUCACUGGCCCGAUACUGACGCUGAGGUGCGAAAGCGUGGGGAGCAAACAGG
rnacentral:rRNA from 1 species